AUUAGGGUUAAAGGUUAGAAUUAGGGUUAGGGUUCAUGUGUCAUGACAGUGUCAUGUCACUCUUAUGUCGAUACUGUCAAGUGAAGUGUUACCGUCUUUUUCUAAUCACGUCAUUUGUACAUCUUUCUCCAGGGAAGGAUGAGGGAGAGUUUAUAGGGACUUAGAGGGAAAAAACAACCGCAGUGCUACGUGAAUCUGACUGUAUUUACACUAGGCUAUGUAAUUAUGCGAUAGUGUGUAUUAUUGAUGUUGGUCUACAGGAUAUACGUAAUUUUGCGAUAGUGCAUAUUAUUGAUGUUGGUCUUUAAAUGUCGCUCCUGCAAGGGGUUCUGGGACAGCAUUAUCUCUUGUCCUUCUGAGAAAGAUGGUCUGGUUCACCCUGUGCUAAAGCAGAUGGAAACCUGAUGUGAGAGGCAAAAAGCAGAGUGUCUCUCAGAUGGGUCUUUCUUCAGACGGAGACAGCACAACACACAAAACACCAAUCAGAAGAAAUAAUUGACAUACACCUACACACAUACAACUGUAAUAGAACACUCCCACAGGGACAAGAACCGUCGACGACUUGGAGGAAGACAGAGCGGAGACAUAAGCCUGCUCAGCUGAACCCCAGCAGCAGGUGAUCAAGCGUGGGGC